ACGGAGGGGGCUAGCGUUGUUCGGAAUUACUGGGCGUAAAGGGCGCGCAGGCGGCUGCUCAAGUCAGGCGUGAAAGGCCUGGGCUCAACCCGGGAAUUGCGCUUGAGACUGGGCUGGCUUGAGUGCGGGAGAGGAUGGUGGAAUUCCCAGUGUAGAGGUGAAAUUCGUAGAUAUUGGGAAGAACACCGGUGGCGAAGGCGGCCAUCUGGACCGCAACUGACGCUGAGGCGCGAAAGCGUGGGGAGCAAACAGGA
rnacentral:rRNA from 1 species